rnacentral:rRNA from 1 species
AGCGAACGCUGGCGGCAGGCCUAACACAUGCAAGUCGAACGGACCCUUCGGGGUUAGUGGCGGACGGGUGAGUAACACGUGGGAACGUGCCUUUUGGUUCGGAACAACUCAGGGAAACUUGAGCUAAUACCGAAUGUGCCCUUCGGGGGAAAGAUUUAUCGCCAUUAGAGCGGCCCGCGUCUGAUUAGCUUGUUGGUGAGGUAAUGGCUCACCAAGGCGACGAUCAGUAGCUGGUCUGAGAGGAUGAUCAGCCACAUUGGGACUGAGACACGGCCCAAACUCCUACGGGAGGCAGCAAUGGGGAAUCUUGCGCAAUGGGCGAAAGCCUGACGCAGCCAUGCCGCGUGAAUGAUGAAGGUUUUAGGAUUGUAAAAUUCUUUCACCGGGGACGAUGAUGACGGUACCCGGAGAAGAAGCCCCGGCUAACUUCGUGCCAGCCGCCGCAGUAAAAC